CUGAGCUGGAGUGGAGGUAACAUGUCACCCCAGUAUAUGAAGAAAAGGCAGAAGGUCCAGCGUUUCGAUCAAUGGCAGCUUUAUUGAAGAAAUAACACACAGUAAAAGCAGUAGUCAGACGCAAAACGCAAAAUGCCCUCUUCCUCGGUGGUCAGUGGUAACCUGAACAGGAGAGAGCUUCACGCUCCGGAACGGGACUUGUAGAUUGGGGUACGAAACCAGAAGUACAGAAGUGCUGCUAUGCCUCAACUCCCGCUGAGAUCCAUCUUUUAGCCUAAAUAAAUACUACUGCGGAGAUUGCAAAUAAACCUUGGACAUCGCAGGAAAUUAUAUAGACUUACGCUGAUGAAUAAAUAAAGAUUGAAUAUCAAACAGAAAUCUUAGCCUUAGAAAAACAUGAAUACAUUUACAGCCAUUUCCAUAAACUUAAUGAAAAAAAUGGCUUCAUUCCGACGGGUUCCAGAAACUGAAGAGCU